rnacentral:tRNA from 1 species
GGGUUGCUAAUCCAACGGUAGAGUACUCGGCUCCCAACCGACGGGUUUCGGGUUCGAGCCCCGGGU